CUCGGAUGGUGGGAAAAGAGGGUUCUAGAUCAGCUUAUUUUGAGCAUAAACAUUGGCUCCAUUUACCAUGCUCAUUUGUUCUAACUUGCACUUUGGUGUAAGGUGGAAAAGUGAUAAGGUACCAUGGCUACCCAUGUUUGGACUCUUGUGGGUGCCAAAAUCGAGGGGAGGAAGAGGAGAAGAUGGAAGUAGGAGUUGACUAGUAUACUACUUGUCCCUUUGCCAAAAUAGUAUAAUUGCUAGAGUGUAGUGAUGGAAUCUUCAAAGUGAAGAUAUUGCAUUCCAAAAUUGUUAUGCCUCAUGGUGAAAUUCUUAUAUGUAUAGUCCUUUUCCCAAUGUACUCAUAUACUACUUGUAAUUCCAUCAUUCUUGUAUAUCUUGUACUCUUCAACUUGCUUAUUAAAUCGAAGUAUAACCUCCACUUUUA